AUUUUCAUUCAUUCCCAUUUCACCAAAAAACUAACCCCCCCCCUCAAAUUCUCUCAAAUCCCUCUCCUCUCCGGCCAUGGCUCCGGCCAAGCACCGCCGCGGGCUCAGCCACUAUCGACUGUCGUGCAUGGCGACCGGAACUCCAAAAGUCUCGGUGGUUAACAAAGGUGCAACUUGAAGUCGGUGGACGUGACAAGUCGGUGGCAGUAGGCGCGCCAGUGGCGGUGGACAUGACAAGCCAGUGCAGCAGGCGCGCCAGUGGCGGUGGACAUGACAAGGGCAUACCUAGGUGCGGCGCACUUAGGGUUUUCUUUUGUUUUUUUGUGUUUUAUGGUUUUGGGCUUAAUUAGGCUUCGGGUUAGGCUGAAUUGGGUUUAGUUUUUAGGUUUGGUUUUGGGUCUUAUAGAUUGUUGGGUUGUUUGGUUUUGGGGUCUUAUUGGACCUCGGGCUAAAUUGGGCUUGUACACUAUCCAACAUAAAAUUGUGCUAAUUUGAUAAUAUUGUUAAUGUUUUUAAAAA